rnacentral:rRNA from 1 species
UGGGGAAUUUUGGACAAUGGGCGAAAGCCUGAUCCAGCAAUGCCGCGUGUGUGAAGAAGGCCUUCGGGUUGUAAAGCACUUUUGUCCGGAAAGAAAUCCUUGGCUCUAAUACAGUCGGGGGAUGACGGUACCGGAAGAAUAAGCACCGGCUAACUACGUGCCAGCAGCCGCGGUAAUACGUAGGGUGCAAGCGUUAAUCGGAAUUACUGGGCGUAAAGCGUGCGCAGGCGGUUUGCUAAGACCGAUGUGAAAUCCCCGGGCUCAACCUGGGAACUGCAUUGGUGACUGGCAGGCUAGAGUAUGGCAGAGGGGGGUAGAAUUCCACGUGUAGCAGUGAAAUGCGUAGAGAUGUGGGGGAAUACCGAUGGCGAAGGCAGCCCCCUGGGCCAAUACUGACGCUCAUGCACGAAAGCGUGGGGAGCAAACAGGAUUAGAUACCCUGGUAGUCCACGCCCUAAACGAUGUCAACUAGUUGUUGGGGAUUCAUUUCAUUAGUAACGUAGCUAACGCGUGAAGUUGACCGCCUGGGGAGUACGGUCGCAAGAUUAAAACUCAAAGGAAUUGACGGGGUCAUAGCUGUUUCCU